UACGAAGGGGGCUAGCGUUGCUCGGAAUCACUGGGCGUAAAGCGCACGUAGGCGGAUUGUUAAGUCAGGGGUGAAAUCCUGGAGCUCAACUCCAGAACUGCCUUUGAUACUGGCGAUCUCGAGUCCGGGAGAGGUGAGUGGAACUGCGAGUGUAGAGGUGAAAUUCGUAGAUAUUCGCAAGAACACCAGUGGCGAAGGCGGCUCACUGGCCCGGUACUGACGCUGAGAAGCGAAAGCGUGGGGAGCGAACAGG
rnacentral:rRNA from 1 species